CACGUAGGGUGCGAGCGUUGUCCGGAAUUAUUGGGCGUAAAGAGCUCGUAGGCGGUUUGUCGCGUCUGUCGUGAAAGCUUGGGGCUUAACCCCAAGUCUGCGGUGGAUACGGGCAGACUAGAGGCAGGUAGGGGAGAACGGAAUUCCCGGUGUAGCGGUGAAAUGCGCAGAUAUCUGAAGGAACAUCAGUGGCGAAAGCGACUUCCUGGACCAAUACUGACGCUCAUGUGCGAAAGCGUGGGGAGCAAACAGG
rnacentral:rRNA from 1 species